CGAUGACAAAGACCACCAUCUGUUCCCUUCCUUGUGGGUUCUUGUCAGCCUCGCUGGGAGCUGGUGGGGACCCUAGACUCCCCACCAUGGACCCACCAGGGCCCCCAUCAUGGACCCAGCAGGGUCCCCAGCAAGGGACACACCAGGGGGCCAACCAUGGACUCAUCACAGUCCCUACCGUGGACCUACCAUGGACCUACCAUGGACCUACCAUGGACCUACCAUGGACCUACCAUGGACCUAACAUGGACCUAACAUGGACCUACCAUUGACCUAACAUGGACCUACCAUGGCUUGCAUUCCUGGAAGCCAGGAAUGCCUUUCAGAGUUCACAGUGAACACAAAUGUGAGAGGAUAAGGUGUAAAGAAGAAGGAGAAGAAGGAGAAGAAGGAGGAGGAGUAGUAGAAGAAGCAGAAUUUAGUUUUGUUUGUUGGCUGGAAGGACCGAUACCUACCAGCAUCGCAAGGUUCAGGAAGCACUAGCAGCCUCUACACCUGAUGGACUGCUGCCUGACGGAGAGCCAAUCACAACAUGCAACCUCUCAUCGCGUUGCGCUAUGAUUGGAUAAGUAACUUCAUCUAGCUAUUAGCCUGUAUAGAACAAUCCUGGUCAGAUCACAUUGCGUUAACUUAUGAUUUGAUAGAAUCUUUAUAUCAAACUAUAACAGACAAUCCCUGUGAACCAGCCACAUAGAUUAUAUAAAUACCAAG
ensembl:lncRNA